CCUGACCAGGAACUGAUUACAACGGAGAAACCAAUAGCAUCUUCAGCUCAGAACCCAAACUUCCAGAUUUUAUCAGGCAUGUGAGCAAUAAGGGAACAAAACACACAGAGAAAGUACAAUAUGGCUCCUCUAUUUUAUAAAAAAAAAAUAACUGCUGCUUAAAGAAGGCCAGGCUAAUUGAGGCCAAUUAAAUUAAUCAGGCAAGUGAACCAGCCACACCCAUUCCAAGGAGGAUGGGUGCAAUCACAGGCAAUUAGUGUGAUUAAUCCUCUCAUUGUCAUCCCCACAGCCAGCACCUGGCCAAGAAGUUGGGGAGUUACCUAACUGUGCCCAGGAGGAUGCUGCAGGCAAAGGUGGUGCUUCCAGCAGAGUUUAAAAACCUGUUGCAAGAAAGAAGCUCACGUUUGUGGCUACCCCAUCCCUGGAACUGUUCAAGACCAGCUUGGAGGGGAUAAAAACUACAUCUGAACACCAUGUGAAGCAUUUCUCCCCAUGCUGAUGCCGCACACAAAUUAUUUUGUGAAGAAAUUCCCUGAAGCCUCUAGAGCUGGGCUCUUGCAGAGUAAGUAAAACAUUAUUUUUUUAAAAAGCAGUAUUGCUCGUGCAUGAAGCUCUCGAUUUGUAGCAGUUCAUUUUUGUGUAAGAGCCCCCUGUGUUUGCAUUGGGGGCACCUGUUUAUUCUGGGAUUAAAUGAAAGCCCUAAAAACGGGGUCAUUUUCUGCUUUGAGUUCUGUGACACCUCGUGGCACCUGCGGAUGAGUUUGCCUAUGGAGCAAUUCCUGUGGACUUUGGCAAGCUCCAGUGUUGGUUUUAGGGGACAGAUAAGGAUAAUCCAGACAUCACUUGGUCUCCUGACCCUGCCUGUGAGUUUCCUCUGUCUGCCCCUCCACCUGAUGGGACUGGUUUCAGUGGGUUUGGCAGAACCAGCUCUGUUAAACCCUCUGGGCUGACCUCGAGACAGUUUUGACCUAAAAUCCACUGCUGGUGUCAACCCCAAACCCACCAAAGCAUCGGAUGGAGCUGUGGGUUGGAAAAGCUGCUGCAAGGUGCCUGUCACACCCCAGGAAGAGCCAUGAAGGAGCACAAAAUGGACUUCAACAAAAUGGUAAAAUCCUUCUAUGGAGUUUUCACAACAAUUUGGUUCUCAGCUGUCUCCUUAGACAGUCUGGAAGCUGACUGAGUGGCAAUUUCUGACAGGGAGAUCUCCUUUCCUUUGGUGUUUGUUCCCAGGAUGAGGGGAAGCAGCAGCAUUGAUCCUGAGAUUGUGAAGGCUAAUAAAGAAAUUCAUCCGUGCUACUAAAGUCAAUGGUAUCAAAGUAAUUCCACUCAUUUCACCAUGCAAAGUGGGAAAAGGACUUUUCACACUCACUGGCUAACAGCUCCUCCAUAAAAAGUCCCAGGAACACCAGGGAAGCCACAAUGAGCUACUCUGAUCCCAGAUCCUUUUUCAGUUUGCUUCCACAGUGUCCCUGGCUUGGGAUCUGAUUUUGAACUGCUAAAAAAACCAGUUACAAGACUAAAUCCAAAAUUGGAGCUUGAAUGACCCUUUAUGUCAAAUCCUACCUUGGCUCUUUACAAUUCUGAAUCUGAACAUGUUUUUGAUCUCAGAGCAAAACUUGGAUGGUGACAUUCCCACCCUAGAAAUGUCCUGACUUAUUUAGUUGGCAUUUCCCUGCCACCUCCUUGUGGGUUUGUAUGGCAAAAGGCACUCCAAGAGGAACAAAUUCCUGAGCACCAGUGACUCUGGAAAAAACCACAUAAAGCAUUUGUAUGGUCAACAAAUAGUUAUGAUUUUAUUGAGUGGUAGAAUACACAAGGAAAAAAAAGUUGUUCUUUUUGAGUUACUGGAUUUUUUUUUUUUUUAAGAAUUAAAAAAAGCAGGAGCUGUCCUAUAAGGAAUGUGGGUUGGCUAUUUUAACAUUGGAAAUGUUAGGGCUUUGUUAGGAAGGCUUUCUUGGGAAAGCAUCUACUAAGGAAAAGGAUGUCUUUGCCCUAAUGAAGACCUCAAAUCCAGCCAGAGAGCUCAGCCCCUGCAGUAGGGAAUGAUGGUGCCUGGACACAGGUCCUGAUGAGCCUCCCAAGCCCUAUUUCAGUGAGCAGUUGGGAUUUAGACUCCUCAAAUCCAUGCUUAGAGGGAAAACUCCAAGGAAAGUCCCCUAACUCCCACUGUGCCUGUCCCUGGGAACUGUGGGCAGUGAGUCCCUGCUCCCAGAGCUGUGGGAGGGGGGGCUCAGUGUGAGAUCCAGCUCACUCUGAGGUGCCUGUGGAUGUCACCAGCCCCUGCCACCCCCUCUGAGCCCCAGCUCUGCCCUGUCUUGCCCUGUGUCUCCAGCACAGCCCUCCAGGCAAUUCCAGCCAUGCUGGGAGAUCAUGGAACACCUGAUUCCAAAUUUCUCCUCCUUCACCUCUCAGUAUUUUUUCUCCCCCUCUCAUGCAUCCCUCCCCAAGCCAUGACCUUCCCAAGCUUCUCCCAUCUCUCAUUCUCCUCCUGAAGCACACCCAGAGGCUUUUCUUUGCUGCAGUUUGUGCUUUUCCUGGCAUCCUCCAUCAUCCUGGUCCUCCAGCUCCUACUCCAGUCCCCCACAGUGAGUGGGGAGAACAAAUCCAGUCCUUCCCUGGCUGUUGUUUGAUUCUCUGCCCUGAAACCAGCUCUCCCCAUUGCCAUGUGGUGUAGCUGGGUUCAGUAAACCCUGGCAGGCUCCCAGCACCUCUUACUGGCUUUGGGGUUUUUUUCAUGUUUGUGUCUCACUACAGUGCAAAUGAAUGACCUUUAUCAAGGCAGAAAGUGGGGCAAGAUUUCACCUCAUUAUUUUCAGAGAACCUCGCUAGUUAAGAGUCCUCAGAAAGCUGGGCAAAGCUCUGCUGAAAAUUCUGCUUUUUCAGAUUUUAACCUGCUCGUGUCUCACUCAUUGCAGCUUGUUGGAGACAAAGCUCAUGGGAAGUUUAUAUCCAUCUACAUUUCCAGUCUUACUGAAACCUCUGGAAUAUCUCCAGGUAAAUGUAAUUUUACUUGGAGAACAAUGACAACAAAGCAGAUUGAUCCAGACUUCCAGGGCUCUUUGUCAGGGAUCUCUUUGACCUGCUCCAGUUAAAGAGUGGAGAGCUUGUAAAAUCCUGGAAUGGUUGGGGUUGGAAGGGACAAUAAAGAUCAUCCAAUUCCACACUCCUGCCAUGGACAGGGACACCUCUAGACCAGGUUGCUCCAAACCUCAUCCAGUCUGGCCUGUAACACUUGCAGGGAUGAGGUGUCAACAAGGAAUCAAGGCAAGUAGAAAACAGCUCAAAUUGCAAGAUAGAAAGCUGAGAUUUUUUUGGAAGCAGAGUAAAAAGCUAUAUGAGCCUUGCCUGAAAAAAUAAUAAGGUUUUUUUGGGGAAAAAAAUGCCCAUUUGCCUAAGAGCUGAUCUUUCCCCAAGAUCAACCCAAACAGUUUCCCAAGAAGAAAGGUGAGAAGAGAAGAAGGGGACAAGGCUAAGGAGAAAAACAUUUGCUCUGGAAAUAAGACCAAAAAAUCCCAAGGGCUGUCAGAAGAAUAAGCUGGAUAUUUAAAAGCUUGCAGUGCUGAUGCCACUGUGCUCGUGUCAUCCUUGCUGGAGCACAGUGAGGCACAUUCAAGGAAAUUAAGGCAGUCCUGGUGAGGUUAGCCAAAUUCCAGGCUAGCUCCUUACUACCUGCCUGAGAAAUCACAGCAUCCAGAGGAUGUUAUUUAUGUAGCUUUUCACCGUGAACAUUCCUGGUGGCACUUGGGUGAGCAAGACCCCCAGAACAAGCCCUUUACAAACCAGAAGUGCUGCUUGCUGAAGUUGCAAGAUGCUGAAUUCCCCAUCUGUAA